GGCGGGUUGCCCGAGCGGCCAAUGGGAGCGGACUGUAAAUCCGUCGCGAAAGCUACAGAGGUUCGAAUCCUCUACCCGCCA
rfam:Micromonospora echinospora strain DSM 43816 genome assembly, chromosome: I